AGAGUUUGAUCAUGGCUCAGAUUGAACGCUGGCGGCAGGCUUAACACAUGCAAGUCGAACGGUAACAGGGAGAAGCUUGCUUCUUUGCUGACGAGUGGCGGACGGGUGAGUAAUGCUUGGGAAUCUGGCUUAUGGAGGGGGAUAACUACGGGAAACUGUAGCUAAUACCGCGUAAUAUCUUCGGAUUAAAGGGUGGGACUUUCAGGCCACCUGCCAUAAGAUGAGCCCAAGUGGGAUUAGGUAGUUGGUGGGGUAAAGGCCUACCAAGCCGACGAUCUCUAGCUGGUCUGAGAGGAUGGCCAGCCACACUGGAACUGAGACACGGUCCAGACUCCUACGGGAGGCAGCAGUGGGGAAUAUUGCACAAUGGGGGGAACCCUGAUGCAGCCAUGCCGCGUGAAUGAAGAAGGCCUUCGGGUUGUAAAGUUCUUUCGGUGAUGAGGAAGGUGUUUGUUUUAAUAGAACAAGCAAUUGACGUUAGUCACAGAAGAAGCACCGGCUAACUCCGUGCCAGCAGCCGCGGUAAUACGGAGGGUGCGAGCGUUAAUCGGAAUGACUGGGCGUAAAGGGCACGCAGGCGGUGACUUAAGUGAGAUGUGAAAGCCCCGGGCUUAACCUGGGAAUUGCAUUUCAUACUGGGUCGCUAGAGUAUUUUAGGGAGGGGUAGAAUUCCACGUGUAGCGGUGAAAUGCGUAGAGAUGUGGAGGAAUACCGAAGGCGAAGGCAGCCCCUUGGGAAUAUACUGACGCUCAUGUGCGAAAGCGUGGGGAGCAAACAGGAUUAGAUACCCUGGUAGUCCACGCUGUAAACGCUGUCGAUUUGGGGAUUGGGCUUAGAGCUUGGUGCCCGUAGCUAACGUGAUAAA
rnacentral:rRNA from 1 species